CCUACGGGCGGCAGCAGUGAGGAAUAUUGGUCAAUGGACGAGAGUCUGAACCAGCCAAGUAGCGUGAAGGAUGACUGCCCUAUGGGUUGUAAACUUCUUUUAUAUGGGAAUAAAAUGUUCCACGUGUGGGAUUUUGUAUGUACCAUAUGAAUAAGGAUCGGCUAACUCCGUGCCAGCAGCCGCGGUAAUACGGAGGAUCCGAGCGUUAUCCGGAUUUAUUGGGUUUAAAGGGAGCGUAGGUGGAUUGUUAAGUCAGUUGUGAAAGUUUGCGGCUGAACCGUAAAAUUGCAGUUGAAACUGGCAGGCUUGAGUACAGUAGAGGUGGGCGGAAUUAGUGGUGUAGCGGUGAAAUGCUUAGAUAUAACGAAGAACUCCGAUUGCGAAGGCAGCUCACUGGACUGAAACUGACACUGAGGCUCGAAAGUGUGGGUAUCAAACAGGAUUAGAUACCCCAGUAGUC
rnacentral:rRNA from 1 species